rnacentral:lncRNA from 1 species
GUAAAAAGGGUAAAACUUUGUUUGCCCCUCCCCCCUCCCAUUUACCACCCCCCAUAAAUAAUGAACACUCCCUAAGUAGCAUGUUAUUGUUGGGAUCUCGGAUCAAUUUAAUAAAUAUAUAAAUAGACAUCUUCUUGUUUUAUUGUUGCAUCAAUUUUAAUUGGAAAAAAUACUCACAAAGUAGAUCAAGUGUAUGGAUAAAUUAUUCAUUUACUAAAGUACAUUUUUACAGUUAUUUAUGCGACCUCGUACCCAGAGUCCUUCCUCUUGGGGAGAAAAGACCCCGGUAGAUGCUGGUCAUGUGAUCUGCUAAAAUCUAGCAGAUUUCUAAUUAACUAUCUUGAAUUCCUUUAUGACAAUCAUACAAAAUGCAAAUUAUAAAUUAACAUAUAAAAAUCAUCCAAAUAUCAAAUAUUUAUUGACCUCAUCCUGGAUUGCUAAUUAAAAAUCUGCUAGAUUUUAGCAGAUCAUGUGACCAGCAUCUACCAGGGUCUUUUCUCCCCUGGGUACGAGGUUGUUAUUUAUGUACUUAGUCUUAUUUGCAUGAGUGUACAUGACAGAUUGUUUUAAUUAGAUAUACCCAGUUAUAUCAUUUAUAACAUGGUUUGUUUAAAAAUGCUGGAAAAAAACAAAAAAGUUAGCCAAUUAAAAUAAAUGCACUAAUAACUUGUUAAACAUAGCUAAUUGCUAUUUAUUAUAUAAAUCCAUCAUGCUUUUUCCUACCACUUGAGUCUCCACUCACCAGGUUUCAUUAUGAAAAUUUUUGGAUUAAAUCAUGGGCGGAUUCCCUGGGGGGGGGGCUUUAGGAGGGGUUAACCCCCCCCCCUUAGAAUCUCUCUAACUCCUCUUAUAAAGUGUUAAACCCCACCAAAAUUUUGCUUCAAAAUUCUUUAACCCUAAUGCCAAACCCCUGUAAAAAGCUCCCUCAGUGGUGCUGCUUGCCCCCCCUGAAAGGUUUCCACCCCUCCUUUAAAAAAAAUCCACCCUUUUUAAUUAAGAAAGUCAACCCUAUACUUGAUACACUGAACAUAGACGAUAGACAUCCACAACAUCUGCACCAAUUAGUGGGUGCAAAUACUUGCAUAGUUGAAAAGCAAUAUAACCAACAUGUUGUCAUCCAGUUCCAUAGUCUAGUCAAUAGGCAAUUCCAGCUUUUAAUUUAUGUGUGCAGGGGGCAACAGGAAGUAAGGUAUCAUAUUGCUGAUUAUGCUGAAAAAUUGUAAUAAAAUAAACUAAAAGCUGGAAUUGCCUAUUGCACUUGGGUCCCUUGGAUUCAAUGGUGCUGGCCAUAUUCUUACAUUCACUGUUUUAUCUUGUUCACAAAGAGUGAGGUAUUAUGUCUUAAUUUAAUUUUCCAAAUGAUGUUGGUAGUUUUUCUCACGAGCAUCACUGAUGCACUUGAAUGCUACAGCGUGGGCGAUUUCCUCCUCAUCACUUUCAUCUUCUCACUUAAACGUCAUCACUUUCUGCCCUAUCACCUUGAUCACCUCUUUCAUUAUCAUAUCCAUCCUGAACAGGCUCAAGACCAACCAACCACUCAAGUAAAUCUCUUUCUACAAAAUCAUAACAAGAAAAUUAUUAUUUGAUACAUUAUCAUCUCUAAAAUUAGCAAACAUGUAAUCUCUAAAAUUAUAUUCUCACAACCAUCCACAACUAGAU